GUGCUCACUUUGGCAGCAUGGGUACCAAAAUUGGAAUGAUACAGAGAAGAUCAGCAUGGCUCCUGAAUGAGGAUGACA
ensembl:snRNA U6 U6 spliceosomal RNA